ensembl:vault_RNA Vault Vault RNA
GGGCUUAGCCUAGUGGUUUCUUCACAAUCUGAGUAAUUGUCAUUCAGCUGCUACUUCCUUGCAGUUCAAGUCCCAUGGGCGCUGCUUGGCUUUUAU